ACGAACGCUGGCGGCAGGCCUAACACAUGCAAGUCGAACGCCGUAGCAAUACGGAGUGGCAGACGGGUGAGUAACACGUGGGAACAUACCCUUCGGUUCGGAAUAAACUCAGGGAAACGUUAGAGCUAAUACCGGAUACGUCCGCGAGGAGAAAGAUUCAUCGCCGGAGGAUUGGCCCGCGUCUGAUUAGCUUGUUGGUGAGGUAACGGCUCACCAAGGCGACGAUCAGUAGCGGUCUGAGAGGAUGAUCAGCCA
rnacentral:rRNA from 1 species